UGGCAGCAGAACCGAUAAGCCGGAGACCGAGUACCGCACAGUUACACUGAAGGAAGGCCGCAUAUUGUUUAGCACUGUUAGCAUACGCAAAUGACUGCAUUACUGUCUCAUUAGGCAAAAUGUAGGCCGUCAUUAGGACCCACGCAUACGCUGCUGGGUGGUGCUCAAGCUCUUCCCUUUGAAGCCGCGGCACAAAGUCUGCUUUUAAUUAAACUCAUUUGCAUGAACAAAUAAAGUCUAAUUAAUACGAGUGUUUUAGAGGGCUCAUUUUAGUACCGGACCAAGGCGACAGCCGUUACCCUUCAAGCACAGGGAAGAUGACAGGAAACGCGAUGCGUGACGCGUGCGCAGAGAGGCCUCCUUACACCUGUAAUGCGACGUAGCUAAAUUAAAACAAUGGGAGGAGAACGGCACCGGCGCCGAUCAGCGCGAUUUACAGACCGUAAUGCUCGCUUUCGGCGGUUCCUGCGCAAACGUAACACAAGACUGCCGCAACAUCAGAACGCCAGUUACGUCGAUAGCGCCCAGCCAGGGGCGUGCGUGCAGAAGGAACCCGGUAGAACCGCCCUAAACCACUGAAAGCAAGGAAAACGCGUCGUCCUUUUAGUGAGGGCUGACGGACCGACGUCUGCUUUGUCGUACAAGGGGAUCGUUUGCUAAAUGAUGUGAAUAAUCCGCCAUUACGGCUCAGCACGCCGAGCUGGGCCUGGUUCCCCCGAGGUGAACCGGCCUGCUACCCGGAAAAAAAAACCAAAAAAAAACGUUUGAUCCAAGACCGCUUCAUCUUUCUUUAUAUCUCCAGCCCUUUCAAGCAGAGAUCAGGCCCCUUGUUUUCCAGUCCGGGGUACCUCUGUGAAUGUGAACGAGGAAUGACUGACUCAGUGAGAUGGAGUGAGUGAGAGAGUGAGGGAGAGAGAGGAGUAUUCCUCAGAAAAUAAAGCAGAAGACCCUUUUCGCCGUGCUGCGGCUGAAGCACGCUGCAGUGACCUUUCACAAGAAGUGCACCGGAAUAUUGCAAUCAGAAAGUGACAAGUGUAUUACUGACUCCCUUUUGUUAACACUGCUUUCAAAAUAUACCGUAUUCCCCUACACUCCUGACAAUUGCCGUAGAAAAACGCAUCUGAAUUUUAAAAUAAAUGUAACAAAAUGUUAGAAAGAACUAUAAUAGUGCUUAAUAUUGGUUCCCCUGCUUGAGUCAAAUACUACAACUGCUACUGAUGUUUUAUUGAUAUGUAUAAUAAUGAGAAUAAAAAUGCAUAACUAUUAACUAUAGAAUGUUGCACACAUUCAUUGACGCCUUACAUUUUAGAUGAAUUCUGAACAGUUUGGAAUAUAACGUGUGGGGUUAAUGGAUUAUUAGUCACCCACGUCCAGACAUGUGCACAUUAUUGUCUUUUAAUUAAAUUAAUAACAUUUUUUAUUAUGCUUUAUAAAUUAGGCAGUCUGAAUGGGACGGAAUAGUAGUGACACUCGUUACGAUCUUUCUGGGGUCAUUGUUGAGUCUUGGAAUAUAGCAUGAAUAAAUUAAUGAUGUGGAAUGACGUAUAUAUGGUCAUUUAUAUGCAUGACAUGGAAAUCGGAGGAUAGGCUGAUGGGCUUGUACUUAAAAGGUAAACAUGACCGUAUAUGGUACCAUGUGACCCGUAGUCCCACCGUGGAUGAGGUUUGUUUAUCUCUCCGUUUACGGCCCCGGGUCGCCGUGAUGACAUGGCCAGAGGUCGCCCUGCUGAUGGGAGUUAAUGCGGGCUGACACAUCCUGUCUCUUGGGGAGGGGGGCAUUGGGGCUGCCACCCUUUUAAUCGGUUCCGCUUUUAGAACCCGGAGAGGAAGAAGUGAAAAAUAAAUGAAAAAUGCAUCCCCCCCCCAUCCUGGAAAAGAUCCUCAGCUUGAACCUCCUUGCAGGAGCACUUAGAACAUUUUUUGGGGGGAGGUGGGUUGCUAGUGAAUUAAAUAUGGAUUUCCUCUUCUAAAGGUGCUGCAGAAAUAUGCUCUGCUUCUCCAC